UGGAAGAGAGAAACUAUAUACGCUUA
rnacentral:piRNA from 1 species